rnacentral:rRNA from 1 species
GUGGGGAAUAUUGCACAAUGGAGGAAACUCUGAUGCAGCGACGCCGCGUGAAUGAUGAAGGCCUUCGGGUUGUAAAGUUCUGUCCUUGGGGAAGAUAAUGACGGUACCCAAGGAGGAAGCCCCGGCUAACUACGUGCCAGCAGCCGCGGUAAUACGUAGGGGGCGAGCGUUGUCCGGAAUUAUUGGGCGUAAAGGGUUCGCAGGCGGUCUGAUAAGUCAGAUGUGAAAGGCGUAGGCUCAACCUACGUAAGCAUUUGAAACUGUCAGACUUGAGUUAAGGAGAGGAAAGUGGAAUUCCUAGUGUAGCGGUGAAAUGCGUAGAUAUUAGGAGGAAUACCAGUGGCGAAGGCGACUUUCUGGACUUAUACUGACGCUGAGGAACGAAAGCGUGGGGAGCAAACAGGAUUAGAAACCCUGGUAGUCC